rnacentral:rRNA from 1 species
UCGAAAGCCUGUCUCAGUUCGGAUUGGAGGCUGAAACCCGCCUCCAUGAAGUUGGAUUCGCUAGUAAUCGCGCAUCAGCCAUGGCGCGGUGAAUACGUUCCCGGGCCUUGUACACACCGCCCGUCAAGCCAUGGAAGCUGGGGUGCCUGAAGUUCGUGACCGGAAGGAGCGACCUAGGGCAAAACCGGUGACUGGGGCUAAGUCGUAACAAGGUAUC